rnacentral:rRNA from 1 species
GAUGAACGCUGGCGGCGUGCCUAAUACAUGCAAGUCGAGCGAAUUGAUUAGAAGCUUGCUUCUAUGACGUUAGCGGCGGACGGGUGAGUAACACGUGGGCAACCUGCCUGUAAGACUGGGAUAACUUCGGGAAACCGAAGCUAAUACCGGAUAGGAUCUUCUCCCUCAUGGGAGAUGAUUGAAAGAUGGUUUCGGCUAUCACUUACAGAUGGGCCCGCGGUGCAUUAGCUAGUUGGGGAGGUAACGGCUCACCAAGGCAACGAUGCAUAGCCGACCUGAGAGGGUGAUCGGCCACACUGGGACUGAGACACGGCCCAGACUCCUACGGGAGGCAGCAGUAGGGAAUCUUCCGCAAUGGACGAAAGUCUGACGGAGCAACGCCGCGUGAGUGAUGAAGGCUUUCGGGUCGUAAAACUCUGUUGUUAGGGAAGAACAAGUACGAGAGUAACUGCUCGCACCUUGACGUACCUAACCAGAAAGCCACGGCUAACUACGUGCCAGCCGCCGCCGUAAAAC